rnacentral:rRNA from 1 species
GAACCGUUAUAACCGGCGAUUUCCGAAUGGGGAAACCCAGUGUGUUUCGACACACUAUCAUUAACUGAAUCCAUAGGUUAAUGAGGCGAACCGGGGGAACUGAAACAUCUAAGUACCCCGAGGAAAAGAAAUCAACCGAGAUUCCCCCAGUAGCGGCGAGCGAACGGGGAGCAGCCCAGAGCCUGAAUCAGUAUGUGUGUUAGUGGAAGCGUCUGGAAAGGCGCGCGAUACAGGGUGACAGCCCCGUACACAAAAAUGCACAUGCUGUGAGCUCGAUGAGUAGGGCGGGACACGUGGUAUCCUGUCUGAAUAUGGGGGGACCAUCCUCCAAGGCUAAAUACUCCUGACUGACCGAUAGUGAACCAGUACCGUGAGGGAAAGGCGAAAAGAACCCCGGCGAGGGGAGUGAAAAAGAACCUGAAACCGUGUACGUACAAGCAGUGGGAGCACGCUUAGGCGUGUGACUGCGUACCUUUUGUAUAAUGGGUCAGCGACUUAUAUUCUGUAGCAAGGUUAACCGAAUAGGGGAGCCGAAGGGAAACCGAGUCUUAACUGGGCGUUAAGUUGCAGGGUAUAGACCCGAAACCCGGUGAUCUAGCCAUGGGCAGGUUGAAGGUUGGGUAACACUAACUGGAGGACCGAACCGACUAAUGUUGAAAAAUUAGCGGAUGACUUGUGGCUGGGGGUGAAAGGCCAAUCAAACCGGGAGAUAGCUGGUUCUCCCCGAAAGCUAUUUAGGUAGCGCCUCGUGAAUUCAUCUCCGGGGGUAGAGCACUGUUUCGGCAAGGGGGUCAUCCCGACUUACCAACCCGAUGCAAACUGCGAAUACCGGAGAAUGUUAUCACGGGAGACACACGGCGGGUGCUAACGUCCGUCGUGAAGAGGGAAACAACCCAGACCGCCAGCUAAGGUCCCAAAGUCAUGGUUAAGUGGGAAACGAUGUGGGAAGGCCCAGACAGCCAGGAUGUUGGCUUAGAAGCAGCCAUCAUUUAAAGAAAGCGUAAUAGCUCACUGGUCGAGUCGGCCUGCGCGGAAGAUGUAACGGGGCUAAACCAUGCAC